AGGGGACAGGGAAUUUCACAACAAGUGACAAGCAUAGUCAGGAAAUAUUCAUGGGAGAAGAAUAGUAAGUAAGUUAGCUUGGCCAGAGCAUAGAAUAUAUGAAGGAGAGAAGAAUGUAAGAAGACUGUAAAAGAAGUGGAUCAUGGCCAGAGAGGAAGAAUAAAUGGAUCUCAUUUUUGCCAAGAGAUUUGAUCCAUCACUUAUAAGCCCAGUGAAGCCACAUUUUCUGGGUCUCCUUGGUUAGACUGGGUCAGAGAACAUGCUUCUUCACACCAGGAGUCACAUGGAAAAAGAGAUGAGCAUCGUCCAAGACACCAGGGAACCAGGAGACCUCUGACUUCCUCACAUAAGUGGACAUUCAUCCAACACCACCCAUCAGAAAUGAAAACCUGUUUAGGCUUACAGAAUAAGACCUCAAGACCUUUUCAUUAUUGCCACAGGCCUCUUAUCUCAUGUCAAAGGUGAAAACUAUUAGUCUAUCCCACCUCCUUAUCUCCUCACACCUUUAGGUGCCUAAGGAGUCAUUCCUGAGGACUUGGCUACCUCUCCAUAAUCAUACCCUCCCAGAUGCAAGCUCCUAAUGAGCUCACACUAACAAUCUUGAUAUUUUCUUAUUAGGACAGACUUUCACAUCUAGAUUGGGAUAUAGGGACAGACAAAAGGAUAUAGGUCAGAGAGGGCAGGCAGUCUUUUGCCAGGAAUCUAUAAAAUGUUUGUAUCUGCACGUAUGCAUUGGCAUUUGCCAGUAGGGCAUUUUCUCCUUCCUUAUGAGAAAAAAAUAAAGGCUUGCUUCUUCCAUGCCCCCUCUCUGAC
rnacentral:lncRNA from 1 species